rnacentral:lncRNA from 1 species
AAGAAUCUCGUCCAGAUUUGGUGGUCCUCCCUUUUGACGUGGUCCCCAAAAUGAAGGUAUUAAGGUUUAAGCUUUGUCUGUAGCAAAAUCUCUCAAACAUGUUGUUUAUUAUGAGUUUCUUAUUCACUGCCGUGAAAAGUCUACAUGUCACGGUAAGAACUUUGCUUUUACUGUCAUGUAAUUCUUGAAUUUUUCGCAGGUUUUUUCAUUCGUAUGCUCAGAGUAUGGCGCGCUUAAGUUGUAACCUUGGAUUGGCAAGUGACUUGAUUCAUUCGUAUGCUCAGAGUAUGGCGCGCUUAAGUUGUAACCUUGGAUUGGCAAGUGACUUGUGGGGUUUAGAAUGAAUGAGAAUGGUC